GGGGAAUAUUGGACAAUGGGCGCAAGCCUGAUCCAGCAAUGCCGCGUGUGUGAAGAAGGCCUGCGGGUUGUAAAGCACUUUCAGUGGGGAGGAAGGCCUCGGCGUUAAUAUCGUCGAGGCUUGACGUUACCUACAGAAGAAGCACCGGCUAACUCUGUGCCAGCAGCCGCGGUAAUACAGAGGGUGCAAGCGUUAAUCGGAAUUACUGGGCGUAAAGGGCGCGUAGGUGGUUAAUUAAGUCAGAUGUGAAAUCCCCGGGCGUAACCUGGGAAUUGUAUUUGNAACUGAUUGGCUGGAGUACGGGAGAGGGGAGUGGAAUUUCCGGUGUAGCAGUGAAAUGCUUAGAUAUCGGAAGGAACACCAGUGGCGAAGGCGACUUCCUG
rnacentral:rRNA from 1 species